rnacentral:rRNA from 1 species
UACGUAGGGUGCGAGCGUUGUCCGGAAUUAUUGGGCGUAAAGAGCUUGUAGGCGGUUUGUCGCGUCUGCUGUGAAAUCUCAAGGCUCAACCUUGAGCUUGCAGUCGAUACGGGCAGACUAGAGUUCGGUAGGGGAGACUGGAAUUCCUGGUGUAGCGGUGAAAUGCGCAGAUAUCAGGAGGAACACCUAUGGCGAAGGCAGCUCGCUGGGACGGUACUGACGCUGAGGCGCGAAAGCGUGGGGAGCGAACAGG